rnacentral:rRNA from 1 species
CGUAAAGGGCGUGUAGGCGGCCUGAUAAGUCAGAGGUGAAACUCCAGAGCUCAACUCUGGGCGUGCCUCUGAAACUGUUGGGCUUGAGUGCUCUAGAGGGCAGUGGAAUUGCCGGUGUAGCAGUGAAAUGCGUAGAGAUCGGCAGGAACACCAGUGGCGAAGGCGACUGCCUGGGGAGUAACUGACGCUGAGGCGCGAAAGCUGGGGGAGCAAACGGG